rnacentral:rRNA from 1 species
CUGCUAGAGAUAGCAGCGGCCUUCGGGACAGGGGAGACAGGUGGUGCAUGGUUGUCGUCAGCUCGUGUCGUGAGAUGUUGGGUUAAGUCCCGCAACGAGCGCAACCCUCGAUUUUAGUUGCCAGCACCUCGGGUGGGCACUCUAGAAUGACUGCCGGUGACAAACCGGAGGAAGGCGGGGAUGACGUCAAAUCAUCAUGCCCCUUAUGACCUGGGCUACACACGUACUACAAUGGCCGGUACAACGGGCCGCGAAGCCGCGAGGCGGAGCCAAUCCUAAAAAGCCGGUCUCAGUUCGGAUUGCAGGCUGCAACUCGCCUGCAUGAAGUCGGAAUUGCUAGUAAUCGCGGAUCAGCAUGCCGCGGUGAAUACGUUCCCGGGUCUUGUACACACCGCCCGUCACACCACGAGAGUUUACAACACCCGAAGUCGGUGGGGUAACCCGCAAGGGAGCCAGCCGCCGAAGGUGGGGUAGAUGAUUG